rnacentral:tRNA from 1 species
UCCUCGAUAGUAUAGUGGCUGGUAUACCUGCCUGUCACGCGGGGGACUCGGGUUCCAUUCCCGGUCGGGGAG